ACUUCCGGUUUCCUUUCCCUCAGCUAUUCCAUGGCUUUUCGUGUGGACAAAUCGGGAGGUGGUGUAAACUGGUUUUUGGUGAAAUUCGGCUCGGCCUCAUGCGAACCUAUCUAGGUCCGUCUCUGGAGUGGCCUGUCAUCGAUCGCGCCCUCCAUCGCUGAGCGACACAAGUGGAACCCCCCAGGACUGCAUUCUGCUUUUGGUCUGUGAACACAUUUGGGAAAUUCUUCUGAUCCUACCGCUACUCUCUUGAGAGAGAGAAACAAGGGAAAAAAAAGUUAAUUGCCUGAGGAUAUACUGCUAGUGUUGCGGGACAAAUAGAGACGGGAGAGGCCAAACAGAAUUCAGGACAACCCUUUAUUAUUAAGGUGAUCACUGGCUCAGUCGGACUGGGGUCCAGAAAGUCUGAGCCCGGAACAAAGGGAUCAAUCACCUUUUAAGCAAUUUGUGGCGGGAGUUUGGUGCUACAGGAAGCCUACUUGCAGAAGCAAGAACAAAGGCAGUUAAUUAUUCUUUUACAUUUGUUACACCACAUGUCUUACAUCCUUGGGAAUGCAUGCUUUUGUAGCAAUUGCUUAUCAACCUUGUGACUUUACAGCGCGCUAGGGAGGGAAGCAGGAACUCGUGGUGCCUCAAGGAACGUGAAACGGUGGAACACAGAUAAGCCUCUCCGUGCGUAGAGGAGAAAUAAGCGGUUAAUAUUCUCUCUUAACCCAGGCCUCCGGAGGGUGGGGGGCUAUAUUUCAUUCUACCUCUAAGGAAAAGAAUAAACUUCUUGACUAAUAUACUUAUAAAAUUCAUUAAUUCCCCCUUCACUAGUAAAUAAUAAAUACCUGACUUAGGAUUCCAAAAUAGGUCUUGAAUUUUUCUGCAGGAGCUCCUCAAAGUCUCUGAAUUCCCACAACCUUUUAUUAGAUCACUUAUCCCAUUGUAUUAUAAUUAUCUGUUUAACAAUUUUUCCUCACCCCUAAAGGACCCUGAGCUUCUGGAAGGUAGGGACUGUAUCUUAAAAUCUUGGCAUUUCUGAUGUCUAGAAUAUUUCAUUUAAGAGAAGGGCUUAGUAACUGUUGUGUGGGUGGGUUGAUGAGUUAACUGUCAGGCAGGUGAACUAAUAGGCUGAAGAUAAAGUUUUUCACUGUUGGAAGUGAAUUUGGGAUUAGUCAUCCUAAUCCCCUCACUUUUAGAGAUGGGGCAACUGAGUCAUGCGCGGUGGCUCACGCCUGUAAUUCUAGCACUUUGGGAGGCCAAGGUGAGCGGAUCACCUGAAGUCAGGGAUUUGAGACCAGCCUGGCCAACAUGGCGAAACCCCAUCUCUACUAAAAAUACAAAAAUUAGCCAGGCAUGGUAGCAGGAGCCUGUAAUCCCAGCUGUUCGGGAGGCUGAGGCAGGAGAAUCACUUGAACCUGGGAGGCGGAGGUUGCAGUGAGUUGAGAUCGCGCAAUUGCGCUCCAGCCUGGGCGACAAGAGCAAAACUCCACCUCAAAGAAAAAACAAAACAAGACAUGGGGCAGCUGAGGCCUUUUGUAUACCAGGCAUUUAUCGAGUUAUUCAUGUGGGCCAGUUUCUGUGAUAAAUGAUUUGCAAAUAAUACCCAACUUAAUCUGUAUUGUUAUUUUUAUUUUUACAGAUGAAGAAACAGCUCAGAUUUGACCAAGAUCACACAAGUAGGAGUUGAGGAAUUGGAACCCACUAUGACUGACUCCAAAUUAAUAUAGUGUUUAUAGCCACUUACAUAAUAAUGGUAAAGGUUUUAUUUUUUUCACUAUACAAUAUGUAGUAGAUAAAUUUACUGAGGAAAUGAGACAGCACGUGACAAAUCCUUAAAGGAUACACACAUGACAGGAAGGAUUAGAAGAGGAAACAGAAACAGGUAACAGAGAAGCAGAAAAAGUAAAAUCUCCCAAAAUAAAAAUAGAAGGAAUUAAAAAUAAAAGCAGACUCCGGGUGCAGUGGCUCAUGCCCAGCACUUUGGGAGGCCGAGGCAGGUGAAUCACUUGAGGUCAGGAGUUUGAGACCAGCCUCGCCAACAUGAUGAAACCCUGUUUCUACUAGAAAUAAAAAAAUUAGCCAGGUGUAGUGGCGUGCACCUGUAAUUCUGGUUACUUGGGAAGCUAAGGCAGAAGAAUCACUUGAACCCGAGAGGCAGAGGUUGCAGUGAGCCAAGAUCAUGCCAUUGCACUCCAGCCUGGGUGACAGAGCAAGAUUAUAAAGUCUUCUCAAUAAAAUCGUCUCAAAAAUAAUAAAAAUAAAAGCAGAAGUUAAUGAAAUAGCAAAUAAAAUUGAUGAUAGUAAUUAGCUGGUGUUUGAAAAGAACAAUAAAUAGAAACUCAACAAAUCUGAGGAAGAAAAGGAAAAAAAAUGGUAUUGGAAACAAAGGAGCCCAUGGACGGAGGAUGGCUUGAGCCCAGGAGGUUGAGGUUGCAGUGAGCCAUGAUUGCACCACUGCACUCCAGCCUGGUCAACAGAGCUAGACACUGUCUCAGAAAAAAAAAAAGAAACAGGCCGGGCAUGGUGGCUCACGCCUGUAAUCCCAGCACUUUGGGAGACCAAGGCAGGCGGAUCAUGAGGUCAAGAGAUCGAGACCAUCCCAGCCAGCAUGGUGAAACCCCAUCUCUACUAAAAAUACAAAAAUUAGCUGGGCGUGGUGGCAGGCGCCUGUAGUCCCAGCUACGUGGGAGGCUGGGGCAGGAGAAUUGCUUGAACCCCCAGGAGGUGGAGGUUGCAGUAAGCCGAGAUCGCGCCACUGCACUCCAGCUUGGCGACAGAGUGAGAGUCCGUCUCAGGGAAAAAAAAAAAAAAAGGGCAAAGGGACAUCUUACAAAGGAGACUGUGAAAAUCAGAAAGAAAUUAUUUUGUAUAACAUUAUACACGUUGAGCACCCCUUAUCCAAAAUCUGAGAUUUUCAGUCCUUAUCCAAAAUCUGAAAUCCUUAUCCAAAAUCUGAGUGGCUGAGAUCACGCCACUGCACUCCAGCCUGGGCAACACAGCGAGACUCUGUCUCAAAAACAAUAAAGUGAGUGUGGUCCAGAAGAGAUUAAGAAGCUAAGAAAAGCACACUGGUUUUAGCAAGAAGUCAUUGAUAAUAAGAGUAAUUUUAAUAAAAAAGCUAAGAUGCAAUAUCCAGACUGCAUGGGAUUUCAAGGUAAGUGCCUGACUAUGGAAGAAAUUUUUUUUUCUUUUUUUUUUGAGACAGAGUCUCGCUGUG
rnacentral:lncRNA from 10 species